AUGCAAGUCGAACGAUGAACCGCUUUCGGGCGGGGAUUAGUGGCGAACGGGUGAGUAACACGGGGGCAAUCUGCCCUGCACUCUGGGACAAGCCCUGGAAACGGGGUCUAAUACCGGAUAUGACCGUCUGCCGCAUGGUGGAUGGUGUAAAGCUCCGGCGGUGCAGGAUGAGCCCGCGGCCUAUCAGCUUGUUGGUGAGGUAGUGGCUCACCAAGGCGACGACGGGUAGCCGGCCUGAGAGGGCGACCGGCCACACUGGGACUGAGACACGGCCCAGACUCCUACGGGAGGCAGCAGUGGGGAAUAUUGCACAAUGGGCGAAAGCCUGAUGCAGCGACGCCGCGUGAGGGAUGACGGCCUUCGGGUUGUAAACCUCUUUCAGCAGGGAAGAAGCGAAAGUGACGGUACCUGCAGAAGAAGCGCCGGCUAACUACGUGCCAGCAGCCGCGGUAAUACGUAGGGCGCAAGCGUUGUCCGGAAUUAUUGGGCGUAAAGAGCUCGUAGGCGGCUUGUCACGUCGGUUGUGAAAGCCCGGGGCUUAACCCCGGGUCUGCAGUCGAUACGGGCAGGCUAGAGUUCGGUAGGGGAGAUCGGAAUUCCUGGUGUAGCGGUGAAAUGCGCAGAUAUCAGGAGGAACACCGGUGGCGAAGGCGGAUCUCUGGGCCGAUACUGACGCUGAGGAGCGAAAGCGUGGGGAGCGAACAGGAUUAGAUACCCUGGUAGUCCACGCCGUAAACGGUGGGCACUAGGUGUGGGCAACAUUCCACGUUGUCCGUGCCGCAGCUAACGCAUUAAGUGCCCCGCCUGGCGAGUAC
rnacentral:rRNA from 1 species